UAUGGAGAUAUUUAGAGUCUGUUGGAAUUAUGUCAAAACACAGCAAUGUCCGUGCAUGGACGCACGGACAAGGCGUUAGCGCCACGGACGGCGCUAAAAGCCGGUUGCGUCCUAUAGCCAAAACCUAAAUCAUAAUUCCUACAGAGUCUUAAUAUCGAAAUAC
ncrna:unclassified sequences TwoGGAY RNA